rnacentral:rRNA from 1 species
CGGCAACAGCUCAAAUUUGAAAUCUGGCGUCUUUGGCGUCCGAGUUGUAAUUUGCAGAGGGCGCUUUGGCAUUGGCAGCGGUCCAAGUUCCUUGGAACAGGACGUCACAGAGGGUGAGAAUCCCGUACGUGGUCGCUAGCCUUUACCGUGUAAAGCCCCUUCGACGAGUCGAGUUGUUUGGGAAUGCAGCUCUAAAUGGGAGGUAAAUUUCUUCUAAAGCUAAAUACUGGCCAGAGACCGAUAGCGCACAAGUAGAGUGAUCGAAAGAUGAAAAGCACUUUGGAAAGAGAGUUAAAAAGCACGUGAAAUUGUUGAAAGGGAAGCGCUUGCAGCCAGACUUGCCUGUAGUUGCUCAUCCGGGUUUCUACCCGGUGCACUCUUCUAUAGGCAGGCCAGCAUCAGUUUGGGCGGUUGGAUAAAGGUCUCUGUCAUGUACCUCCUUUCGGGGAGAACUUAUAGGGGAGACGACAUGCAACCAGCCUGGACUGAGGUCCGCGCAUCUGCUAGGAUGCUGGCGUAAUGGCUGUAAGCGGCCCGUCUUGAAACACGGACCAAGGAGUCUAACAUCUAUGCGAGUGUUUGGGUGUCAAGCCCGAGCGCGUAAUGAAAGUGAACGGAGGUGGGAACCUUUCGGGGUGCACCAUCGACCGAUCCUGAUGUCUUCGGAUGGAUUUGAGUAAGAGCAUAGCUGUUGGGACCCGAAAGAUGGUGAACUAUGCUUGAAUAGGGUGAAGCCAGAGGAAACUCUGGUGGAGGCUCGCAGCGGUUCUGACGUGCAAAUCGAUCGUCAAAUUUGGGCAUAGGGGCGAAAGACUAAUCGAACUAUCUAGUAGCUGGUUCCUGC